rnacentral:rRNA from 1 species
AUCGAAAGAUGAAAAGCACUUUGAAAAGAGAGUUAAAAAGCACGUGAAAUUGUUGAAAGGGAAGCGCUUGCGACCAGACUCGCUCGC